rnacentral:rRNA from 1 species
UACGUAGGUGGCAAGCGUUAUCCGGAUUUAUUGGGCGUAAAGAGAACGCAGGUGGUUUAUUAAGUCUGGUGUAAAAGGCAGUGGCUCAACCAUUGUAUGCAUUGGAAACUGGUAGACUUGAGUGCAGGAGAGGAGAGUGGAAUUCCAUGUGUAGCGGUGAAAUGCGUAGAUAUAUGGAGGAACACCGGUGGCGAAAGCGGCUCUCUGGCCUGUAACUGACACUGAGGCUCGAAAGCGUGGGGAGCAAACAGG